AAAGCUGAAGGCUACUCCAACUCCUGUUAAUCCUUGAUUCUUCAAUUGGGCGAUCUUGCCUUAGAGCUCGGGUACUUUAAGAUUGUUUUAGUGCGUCGGCUCAUCUAUCCAUCUGUUGUUCCACUUUGGGCGGUGACCAAUCACCUUUGGGAGCUUUGGAUCAUGGUCUCCAAUAUAGAAUCACUUCUCCUUCCACCCAGAGAGCGACUCCAACAACUCAUACUCCAGGUACACGCUACUUGAUU
rnacentral:lncRNA from 1 species